rnacentral:tRNA from 1 species
GGAGAGGUGGCAGAGCGGUUGAAUGCACCGCACUCGAAAUGCGGCAACAAGCGAACCUUGUUCGUGGGUUCAAAUCCCACCCUCUCCG